CUACACCGUGUCAUUGAGAGACGAAAGAAUGCUGCACACCUGCUCUGUUCAGUAGUUGCAAGCUCGUUGUUUUCUGGGCAGUUCAGAUGCCUCACCAAGAUGAAGUUCCCAGUUGAAGACAUGUGGCUGUGCCCUGUAAACUUUGGUACACACUGGAUUCUUGUGAUUGUCAACAUUUCUGCACAGAAAAUACUGCUCAUAGACCCCAUGGGGAAUGAAGGUGUUUAUGACAG